AACGCACCUUGCGCUCCUUGGUAUUCCGAGGAGCAUGCCUGUUUGAGUGUCAUUAAAUUCUCAACCUAACCAGCUUUUGCGAGCUUGGAUAGGCUUGGAUGUGGGAGUUGCGGGCUUCUCAGAAGUCGGCUCUCCUUAAAUGCAUUAGCGAAACCUUUGUUGACCAUCCCUGGUGUGAUAAUUAUCUACGCCACCGAAGGCCGGCUGCUUAUAUAGGGCUUUGCUUCUAACCUGUCCGUUCGCUCUUUGUAGUGGACGACAACCCCCUGACAUUUUGACCUCAAAUCAGGUAGGACUACCCGCUGAACUUAA
rnacentral:misc_RNA from 1 species